UAGGUCGCGUAUCCCUCCGCCACUGCUAUUUCUGCUACUUCCGUGAUUUCUGUGACUUCUGCUACUUCUGCGAUUUCUGUGACUUCUGCGAUUUCUGCGACUUACCACCGUAUGAAAAAAGUUACAUCUGCCCACACAGAAAAUUGCAUCUCAACAAAUCUGUCAUUGGUACCCGAACUACAUUUCAGUCACUCAGUAAAUUGAUAACUCAAAAUAUCAUUGUCAACAGAUCUGGAGAAAUUGCCACUGCGUCUUUAGACCGUUUUCGUCAGACGAGAGACACAGUUCUGACUCUUGAUUACUGGUUGCUGUAUGUAUCUAUCCACAUCAAGGCUAUUGAGAGAGACUCGUGAAGAUUUAAGACAGCUCUUAGAGGAUUUGCAGUUUAAAAGUGACAUAAUUGUGAAAUAAGUGUGCAGAUGAGUGAUUAAACUGUGUUUUAUUGAAGUUGUUAUGCGAUUUUAAAGGAAUAAUAAAUGUUAAAUACAGUGAUUGAAUAAUGAAAAUCUCAUUUUCCACAUGUUUAAGCCGUCCUAUACCCGUAAU